AAGACGGAGGAAGGUGGGGAUGACGUCAAAUCAUCAUGCCCCUUAUGUCCUGGGCUACACACGUGCUACAAUGGAUGGAACAACGGGCAGCCAACUCGCGAGAGUGCGCGAAUCCCUUAAAACCAUUCUCAGUUCGGAUUGCAGGCUGCAACUCGCCUGCAUGAAGCCGGAAUCGCUAGUAAUCGCGGAUCAGCAUGCCGCGGUGAAUACGUUCCCGGGUCUUGUACACACCGCCCGUCACACCACGAGAGUUUGCAACACCCGAAGUCGGUGAGGUAACCGCAAGGAGCCAGCCGCCGAAGGUGGGGCAGAUGAUUGGGGUGAAGUCGUAACAAGGUAUCCGUACCGGAAGGUGCGGAUGGAUCACCUCCUUUCU
rnacentral:rRNA from 1 species